rnacentral:rRNA from 1 species
ACGCACGCUGGCGGCGUGCUUAACACCUGCCAGUCGAACGGAAAGGCCCUGCUUUUGUGGGGUGCUCGAGUGGCGAACGGGUGAGUAACACGUGAGUAACCUGCCCUUGACUUUGGGAUAACUUCAGGAAACUGGGGCUAAUACCGGAUAGGAGCUCCUGCUGCAUGGUGGGGGUUGGAAAGUUUCGGCGGUUGGGGAUGGACUCGCGGCUUAUCAGCUUGUUGGUGGGGUAGUGGCUUACCAAGGCUUUGACGGGUAGCCGGCCUGAGAGGGUGACCGGCCACAUUGGGACUGAGAUACGGCCCAGACUCCUACGGGAGGCAGCAGUGGGGAAUAUUGCACAAUGGGCGGAAGCCUGAUGCAGCAACGCCGCGUGCGGGAUGACGGCCUUCGGGUGGUAAACCGCUUUCGCCUGUGACGAAGCGUGAGUGACGGUAAUGGGUAAAGAAGCACCGGCUAACUACGU